CAGAGUCUAGCGACUCCCAAACCACUGUUAAUCUACCGUACCGUUGCCUCGGCGGGCUGCCUCUGGGAGGGGCCGCAGCUACGCCCGCCGCAGGUCUUAAAACUAUACCUAUUUUGUGGCACUUCUGAGCAAACUUCCAAACAAUCA
rnacentral:misc_RNA from 1 species